UCAUGUCUUUUAUCAACCUCUCGCUCCUCAUUAAAUCCUGCUAGUAAAUGUAUGAGUAGCGUGAAGAGCCUCUCUACAGGACUGUGGAACUUGUUCUCUCGUAGUAGACAUCGUCCUGCCCGAAUCACAGAAGCCCCCUUGUGAACAACCCACCAUUGUCUUUGUUUUUGUCUCUCUUUUUAACUGUCUUUCUUUCCUUCUCUUACACACAUUCUCCACAACUGACUCAAUGAAUCAUUAUUCAACUGGCCAACUUUAUCAAAGAUGCAUUUCCACGUCUGAGACUCAAUGGGAAAUUCUGACCCCGGCAAUAGCUGCUGAAUUAUGAAGACCACCAAUGAAGAUGUUUGCCUUUCUCAAUCAGGUGUGAGCUGAAGGUGACCACAAAAGAGCCUGGCAGCAGAAUUGCAGAACCAUCUCUCCCACUACGGACCUAAUUAGAACCUUCCGCUGACCCCAAGUGAGCGCCGAGAAGAUGCCACACGCCUCGGCCGUCAUGGAAACAAGACGGUCCCGUCCUGAGACCGGUUUCCUUACAGAGUGAAUCAUGUUCUGGCUCACAGAUACAAAUGAAGUCUGCGGUCGCCCUCUUGUAGUGGUUUACAAUAUCUCAACAUCUCGCAGCUGGUUUGAAGCCUCAUUUCAGAUAAACCGGGAGAUGUCCUACGACAAAGUCUCUGGAGAAAUUGGGCAUUAACGUUGACCAUCGGUUCAGACACCUCCUGGG